GACGUAGGGCGCGAGCGUUGUCCGGAUUUAUUGGGCGUAAAGAGCUCGUAGGCGGCUUGUCGCGUCGACUGUGAAAUCCCGAGGCUCAACCUCGGGUCUGCAGUCGAUACGGGCAAACUAGAGUAUUGCAGGGGAGACUGGAAUUCCUGGUGUAGCGGUGAAAUGCGCAGAUAUCAGGAGGAACACCGGUGGCGAAGGCGGGUCUCUGGGCCGAUACUGACACUGAGGAGCGAAAGCGUGGGGAGCGAACAGG
rnacentral:rRNA from 1 species